AUUGAACGCUGGCGGCAGGCUUAACACAUGCAAGUCGAACGAGCGGCGGACGGGUGAGUAAUGUCUGGGAAACUGCCUGAUGGAGGGGGAUAACUACUGGAAACGGUAGCUAAUACAGCAUACCAUCAGAUGUGCCAAGAUGGGAUUAGCUAGUAGGUGGGGUAAUGGCUCACCUAGGCGUCGAUCCCUAGCUGGUCUGAGAGGAUGACCAGCCACACUGUAACUGCGACACGGUCCAGAGUCCUACGGGAGGCAGCAGUGGGGAAUAUUGCACAAUGGGCGCAAGCCUUAUGCAGCCAUGCCGCGUGUGUGAAGAAGGCCUUCGGGUUGUAAAGUACUUUCAGCGAGGAGGCGUUACUCGCAGAAGAAGCACCGGCUAACUCCGUGCCAGCAGCCGCGGUAAUAC
rnacentral:rRNA from 1 species